rnacentral:rRNA from 1 species
AGAUUGAACGCUGGCGGCAGGCCUAACACAUGCAAGUCGAGCGGCAGCACGGGUACUUGUACCUGGUGGCGAGCGGCGGACGGGUGAGUAAUGCCUAGGAAUCUGCCUGAUAGUGGGGGAUAACGCUCGGAAACGGACGCUAAUACCGCAUACGUCCUACGGGAGAAAGCAGGGGACCUUCGGGCCUUGCGCUAUCAGAUGAGCCUAGGUCGGAUUAGCUAGUUGGUGGGGUAAUGGCUCACCAAGGCGACGAUCCGUAACUGGUCUGAGAGGAUGAUCAGUCACACUGGAACUGAGACACGGUCCAGACUCCUACGGGAGGCAGCAGUGGGAAUAUUGGACAAUGGGCAAAGCCUGAUCCAGCCAUGCCGCGUGUGUGAAGAAGGUCUUCGGAUUGUAAAGCACUUUAAGUUGGAGAAGGCAGUUACCUAAUACGUAUCUGUUUUGACGUUACCGACAGAAUAAGCACCGCUAACUCUGUG